rnacentral:rRNA from 1 species
UACGUAGGGGGCGAGCGUUGUCCGGGAUGACUGGGCGUAAAGGGCGCGUAGGCGGCCUGGUAAGUUAGGAGUGAAAUUCCAGUUUUCAAGGUUGGAACUGCUUUUAAUACUGCCGGGCUGGAGUGCAGAAGAGGUAAGCGGAAUUCCCAGUGUAGCGGUGAAAUGCGUAGAGAUAGGGAAGAACACCAGUGGCGAAGGCGGCUUACUGGGCUGUGACUGACGCUGAGGCGCGAAGGCGUGGGGAGCGAAC